UACGGAGGAUGCAAGCGUUAUCCGGAUUCAUUGGGUUUAAAGGGUGCGCAGGCGGAUGCGUAAGUCAGUGGUGAAAUCCUACGGCUCAACCGUAGAACUGCCAUUGAUACUGCACGUCUUGAGUCUAGUUGAAGUGGGCGGAAUGUAGCAUGUAGCGGUGAAAUGCAUAGAUAUGCUACAGAACACCUAUUGCGAAGGCAGCUCACUAAACUAUAACUGACGCUCAUGCACGAAAGCGUGGGGAGCAAACAGGAUUAGAUACCCGCGUAGU
rnacentral:rRNA from 1 species